UGAAUACGAGACGCUACGGCGUCGAAGCAGUCUAUGUCAUACUUCCAAGAAAAGCUUGCACUGUCAUAAACAAAUAAUGCCUGUACCAUAACCGACACAGGUGGGUAGGUAGAGUAUACUAAGGGGCGCGAGAUAACUCUCUCUAAGGAACUCGGCAAAAUGACUCCGUAACUUCGGGAGGAGGAGUGCCUUAUUUAUAAGGUUGCAAUAACAAGAUCCAAGCAACUGUUUAUCAAAAACACAGGUCUCCGCUAAGUCGUAAGACGAUGUAUGGGGGCUGACGCCUGCCCAGUGCCAGAAGGUUAAAGAAGUUGGUUAGCAUUAGCGAAGCUGAUAACUGAAGCCCUGGUGAACGGCGGCCGUAACAAUAACGGUCCUAAGGUAGCGAAAUUCCUUGUCGGGUAAGUUCCGACCCGCACGAAAGGCGUAAUGAUUUGGAUACUGUCACGGAGAGGGGCUCGGUGAAAUAGACUUGUCUGUGAAGAUGCGGACUACCUGCACCUGGACAGAAAGACCCUAUGAAGCUUUACUGUAACCUGAAAUUGGAAUUGGACUUUGCGCAGUAUAGGUGGGAGGCGUUGAGAAUAUUCUUGCGGGAAUAUUGGAGCCAUCAGUGAGAUACCACUCUUGUAAUGUUAGAUUUCUAACUUUGAAUCAUUAUCUGGUCAAAGAACAGUUUCAGGCGGGCAGUUUGACUGGGGCGGUCGCCUCCUAAAUGGUAACGGAGGCGCACAAAGGUUUCCUCUGAACGGGUAGAAAUCGUAUCUAGAGUGUAAAGGCAUAAGGAAGCUUGACUGUGAGACCUACAAGUCGAGCAGGGACGAAAGUCGGUCUUAGUGAUCUGACGGUGCUGAGUGGAAAGGCCGUCACUCAACGGAUAAAAGUUACUCUAAGGAUAACAGGCUGAUCUCCCCCAAGAGUUCACAUCGACGGGGAGGUUUGGCACCUCGAUGUCGGCUCAUCGCAUCCUGGGGCGGUAGUACGUCCCAAGGGUUGGGCUGUUCGCCCAUGAAAGCGGUACGCGAGCUGGGUUCAGAACGUCGUGAGACAGUUCGGUCCAUAUCCGGUGUAGGCGUUAGAAUAUUGAGAGGAGCCUUCUUUAGUACGAGAGGACCGAGAAGGACAUACCUCUGGUGUACCAGUUAUCGUGCCAACGGUAAACGCUGGGUAGCUAUGUAUGGAGAGGAUAACCGCUGAAAGCAUCUAAGUGGGAAGCCCACCUCAAGAUAAG
rnacentral:rRNA from 1 species